GAGGAGGAAGAGUUAAAGCCACGCAUGAUGUGUGUAGAGACCGUGUGUGUAUGUGUUUUCCCACCCUCCCUUCUCUUCCCGCUUCGGCGGUAUUGGGAGACUCGCGGUUGGAGUAGGAGAGCGAAGAAGCGGCGCUGCAACCGGGGAGAGCAACAUCAUUUCAACCUACAUUCAUCUUUCUCAGGGGGAGGCCAACAUACCCACCUCUUCCAGCUAGGACCAAUACAUUAUCCAAUGGCACCCACUGAGCAGCUUUGUGUUGCCAGCUAGUUGGCCGUGGUGGGAAACAAGAUACUGGAAUAUCUAGACCUUCGGUCUAAUUCAGCAGCAGGGGAAGCUGUACAGACCCUAGAAUGUUGCCUGGCCACUGUUAUGGACUGCACCAGGGCAAAUAAGCCAAAACUGAAUCCUGACAAGACAGGGAUCCUGUUGUUGGGAGAGCAUCCUGAUUGGUUAGGGGGCAUGUUACCUGACCUUGAUGGGGUCACACUCCCCGUGAAGGAUCAGGUGCAAAAUCUGGGUGUGCUUCUGGACCUGGCCCUCUUGAUGGAAAAAACUGAUCCUGGCUGUGGC